rnacentral:misc_RNA from 1 species
AUUAUCUUGCAUCACCUGCAACAACUGAUCUGGCUUAUAUUGUAAUUUUAGAACAUACAAUUGCUGAAAGGGAGCGCAGCCCAGCGGUUGUUGCAAGGUGUGUGGCGCUUUUGAAGCGGUACCUUCUACGAUAUAAACCUAGUGAAGAGACACUACUUCAGAUUGAUCGGUUUUGUGUGUGCACAAUUGCUGAGUGUGAUACGAGUUCAAAUAGAUGGUCAUCACCAUGGUCACGAUCUAUGAAUCAACAGUCCGUUGUGUCAGCAGCUUCUACAAAUUCUUCACCUUCUUUGCCUGUAUCUAGUUUUGCUUCUGGGGCACUUGUAAAGUCAUUAAAUUAUGUGCGUUCCCUAGUGGCUAAAUAUGUAACCAAGCGGUCAUUCCAACCAGCAGCUUUUGCCGGAGCUCGCUCUGCAUCAAGACAGUCACUUCCAUCACUGUCAUCUUUGUUGAGUAGAUCCUUCAAUUCUCAAUUAAGCCCUGCUAAUGCUGGAGAAUCUUCAGAGAAGAAAGAUGCUACCAACUUACCUAUUUCAAAUUUGUCAAAUUUUGAAAAAGUUGAUGCAAGAGAAGACCUGGAUUAUAUUGCUGCUGAUGUUUUGAAGUGGUAUUGGGUUGCGGAACAUUCGUUAUCAUUUCUUUCUGCUGAAAAUGGCCGUUCUGUGGACCUCCAAGAUAUGAGCAUACGUAAUUUUCUAGAACUAGGUGCUGCAGCUCUGCUCGUAGGAGACAUGGAAGCCAAAAUGAAGGGUCAGCCUUGGAAAUAUUUUGGAACUGCUGAUAUGCCAUAUCUUGAUCAACUGUUGCAGCCCUCAUCAUUUACAACGGUCACUAAUUCAGCCUCUGCUCGUUCUCAUUUGAGAGCAAUAACUGCAUCUAAACGCAGUAAAUCAGGACCUCGGCAAAUUUGGCAUGUUCUUCUAACUGAAAUUUUUAUCAUGCAUGGAGAAUUUUGUUCCUAUUAUGAUUACUUUCUUCCCUUCUGCACAUAGAUGCAUUUCUUCUCUUAACAGAUAAUUGCUGACUUAUUUGUGCUAAGACCAAGCUCAAAGUUGCCUUUCAUUUAAGCAAGGGUGUUUGUGUGAUUGUAGCGAUAUUAAAGUUAACUUUGGCUUGAAUCUGGAGCGUAGUGUAACGGUUUAUGUUGUCCAGCUGGCCUUAUCUUUUCUCCACCUGGCCUCAUUUAUUUGUCUUUGAAGUUUGUAAAUAUAUGAAUCCUAAUGUUUUAGAUAUGCUAGGAAUCAUCUUUGUGUCAGUUUGGUUUAGAAUAUCCAAAUUUGACCAUGGUAAAUUCUCACAAAUGUUCUUCACUGUACCAGCUAGUGAAAGGAAUUGAAUCAGAUCAGCAUGUGAAUAGGAGGAUUCUCCUGCAAGCACAUUUCGCACACGUGCUCGACCACUGUUCCAGUAUCGCCACUACAGUGAACAGCAACCUUUACGACUGAAUCCUGCUGAGGUAUGCGAGGUCAUUGCUGCUGUUAGUUCCGAGACAUAUUCUCCGACUGCUAAUAAUUUCACCAUAUCAUCUAGACUAAGUAAUAACAGUGGAAAGCCAUCAAUGGAUGUGGCUGUGAGCGUCCUUAUUAAACUUGUCAUUGAUAUGUAUGUAGUGGACUCUGGGACUGCUGCCCCCCUCACUCUGUCCAUGCUUGAGGAAAUGCUUAGUUCUCCAAAAGCAACUUGUAGGGUUCGUGCUUUUGAUUUGAUUCUGAACCUUGGUGUCCAUGGUCAUUUACUGGAACCAAUGAUGGUGGAUGAUACUUCCACAAUUAAAGAAGAGUACUCACAAGAGGCAUUUGCUGAUACCGAUGAGCAACUUGCAGCACAGGAGAAUAGAAAAGCAGAUUCUGUUAACAAGUUGGGCUGUUUGUCAGCUAUUGAUAACUUUGAGUCUUGGAUUUUAAACAUUUUGUAUGAGAUACUUCUUCUUCUUGUCCAGACUGAGGAGAAGGAAGAAUCUGUCUGGGCUUCUGCUUUGAGCUGUUUACUUUAUUUUGUUUGUGAUAGAGGCAAAAUCUUGAGAAACCGGUUAGAAGGCCUUGACAUAAGGGUCAUUAAGACACUUAUAGAGGUUAGCCGGAUGAAUUCUUGGGCAGAAUUAGUUCAUAGCAGGCUUGUUUGCAUGUUAACAAAUAUGUGUUAUCAAGUUCCUGAUGAGCCGACACUAGAUGUUUCAAAGGCCCCAGUUUUUCUCAUAGACCAGGUUGUGUUGAUUGGAGGAAUUGAGUUCAUUUUCUAUGAGUAUUCUCUUUCUUCCUUGAGAGAAGACAGGAGAAAUCUAUAUUUGGUUCUUUUUGACUAUGUUAUGCACCAAAUAAAUGAAGCAUGUAUAGCUACUGGACUUUCUGAAUAUAGUGAUGAUGAGAUUCAACUUCUAUCAGCCCUGCUUUCUCUUGCUGAUGCACCUGAGGCUUUUUUCAUUUCUGUUAAACUUGGGUUAGAAGGCAUUGCAGAGCUUUUGAGAAGAUCAGUUUCUGCUGCAUUGUCAAGAUAUUCCAACAAUGAACGACUAAAUACGCUCUUAGAGAACAUAACAGAGAAAUUGGACGCAAUAAUUGGUUCUUUUACUCAUUUAGACAAAGAGUUUUCCCAUCUAAUGCAGAUAACAAAAUCUUACAAGUUCCUGGAAAGCAUUGAGAGUGCAGGCAUAAGAAAUAGUGUUAUCAUGAAAGCAAAGCUUGCAUGGGCUACUUUGCAUUCUCUUCUUCAUUCAGAAAGAAUUGCUUACCGCCAGAAUGGCUAUACCUGGUUAGGCGAUCUGCUUAUUGCAGAAAUUAGUGAUGGAAGGGAUGGGAGUAUAUGGUCGAAUAUCAAUAACUUGCAGCAUAUAAUUGCCCAUGCUAGUGUUCAUGAUUCUUCAGUCGCUUCAGAUGUUCCUUUGUCCAUUUGGCUUAUGUGUGGGCUUCUGAAGUCCAAGGACUAUCUCAUCAGAUGGGGCUUCCUAUUUGUCCUAGAGAGGCUUCUCAUGCGAUGUAAAUUUUUAUUGGGUGAGAAUGAAAUGCAACGGUUAAACAGCAUCAAUGCUGGUCAUGAACAUUUGGAUAGCCGGCUUGAGAAAGCAAAUGCAGUGAUAGACAUUAUGAGCAGUGCCUUAUCUUUGGUAGCUCAAAUAAAUGAAACAGAUCGCAUUAACAUUUUGAAGAUGUGUGACAUACUAUUCUCUCAGUUGUGCCUGAAAGUUCUACCAUCAACUGUGAUGCCAUAUGGAGAGCAUACCCAAGGUGGCACAGCCGAGAGUAAAAAAAUUGAUGGUGCUGAGCCUGUCUCUCAACAAGAGAACAGUCCCCGGAAUGAAUUUGUUGAGGAAACUGAUGGCAGGUCCAGCUACAACAUUAACGGUUCUCUGAAGUGGGAGACAGCAUCAAUGGCAGCCAUGCUUCUGAAAGGACAGGCUAUUGUUCCUAUGCAAUUAGUUGCACGUGUUCCUGCUGUGUUGUUCUAUUGGCCAUUGAUUCAGCUUGCUGGCGCAGCAGCAGACAAUAUUUCACUGGGUGUUGCUGUUGGUAGCAAAGGAAGAGGAAACCUUCCUGGUGCUGCAUCAGAUAUUAGGGCCACUCUUCUAUUGCUUCUAAUUGGUAAAUGCACAGCAGACCCUUCUGCUUUUCAAGAAGUUGGUGGAGAAGAGUUUUUUAGGGAACUUUUAGAUGAUACAGAUUCAAGGGUAGCAUAUUACUCUUCAGCUUUUCUUUUGAAGAGAAUGAUGACAGAAAAACCUGAUGAGUACCAACACAUGCUUCAGAACCUUGUCUUUAAAGCACAACAGAGCAACAAUGAAAAGCUGUUGGAAAAUCCAUACCUUCAGAUGCGUGGGAUACUCCAGUUAUCAAAUGAUGGGCUAUAGUCUAGUGACCCCUGUGCAAUUUUAUUGCUGCUGAUCUUGGAGAGAGUGCAUUCACGCUAAACUUGCUGUUCUUUGCUCAACAGUCAUGAUCUUCCACCUGGUAACAUUUGACCAAGUUCUGAACAUCCACAAUUGGAUUGCACUUGAUUUUCUAGGCAUAAAUUGAACAGCUACUCUGAUUAAUGGAGCACUUCAACCAGGCAAAAAAUUUUGAUUUAAGGAGUAGCAGGUUCCUAGUCCUCCUCCUCCUCCCCAAAUGAAAAAUAAGAAAAAGGCUGAUUAUACAAGUUGAAAUUGGUUUUACCUGGGAAAUCCAUUGUGCUUUAUAUAUAUGCACUCUUAUACGAGGUUCCUCUUUAGUUUAUUCACCCUGACACCUAGGAAAACAUUGAGCUUGAUGAUGCCUGCUUCCUGUAUCUCAAUAAUCAUUAUUUGGCUGUUGGGAACUUCUUCAUACAAUCAUGAAUAGACAUCAUCCGAAGAUUGAAAUCUGGAAACUGGAGGCUUGUUUUUAAAGCCAGACUACAAGUUCAGGAAACUUAUUGGAGUAAUUCUAUUCAUUGAUUGGCCAUCCUUCAUUUUGCCUCCUGUUCAGAUUUUGAGAUCCAACAUAUCUU